rnacentral:lncRNA from 1 species
AGUAAAGUUGGAUUGGAGGAACUUAGGUUGAAGAGGAUGGUGGUUUCAGAUGAGAGCCUUGAGCUACUUUCUCGUUCUUUCAUGAAUUUUAAGUCUUUAGUUCUUGUUAGCUGUGAAGGGUUCACUACUGAUGGUCUUGCUGCUGUUGCUGCUAAUUGCAGGUGAGAAAGGAUGAAUCUUGUGUUAUGAUUUUUUUUUUGGUUUUUGUUGUCUUUGUUUUCAUGUGGUGUUUGGAUUUUGCGGUACAAUUUUGAUUUGAUUAUUUAAUGUUUUUUUUUAUAGCUGUACUGUUAAAGGUAUGAUUAUUGUUGUCUUUAUCUUGUUCGUACUUUCAAAAUUUCAAUGUUUUGUAUAUUUUUAGCUUGUGUUCUAUGUGACUACAAUUAGAGAAUAUUAGUACAGUUAGCUCAGGAAAAUGGUUGAAUGACUUUGAACUUAACUUUACCUCAUGCCUAGUUUUUGGAAAUACUAGUCUUUAAUAGUAUCUUGUAAAGUACUCCCUAAUAUAGGAAAAUAAGUACUUGUAUUUGAUCCUAAUUUUUGACCAAUUAUUACAUACACUUUUUUUUAUUGUAUAUCCUUUUAGAGGGAGUAUCUUAAGUUGGGAUCUUGUAUUAUGAAGCUGUGAAUAAUUUAUGACUAGCGAUUUUAGUUGUAUGCGAUAUUUAUUUGGGGUUAGGGAAAAUUUUGUUGAGAAAUAUGUUUUGGCUGGUUGAGAGUUUCCUUUGUCAUGUUAAACAUGUUCUUGAAUCCCUAUAUGGUUUGUGUUGUUGAAAUGUAGGUCUCUUAGGGAGCUAGACCUGCAAGAGAAUGAAGUGGAAGAUCACAAAGGACAGUGGCUAAGUUGUUUUCCUGAAAACUGUACAUCACUUGUCUCUCUUAAUUUUGCUUGCCUGAAAGGAGAGAUUAAUAUCGGAGC